GUGGGGAAUAUUGGACAAUGGGCGAAAGCCUGAUCCAGCCAUGCCGCGUGUGUGAAGAAGGUCUUCGGAUUGUAAAGCACUUUAAGUUGGGAGGAAGGGUAGUAACCUAAUACGUUGCUACUUUGACGUUACCGACAGAAUAAGCACCGGCUAACUUCGUGCCAGCAGCCGCGGUAAUACGAAGGGUGCAAGCGUUAAUCGGAAUUACUGGGCGUAAAGCGCGCGUAGGUGGUUCAGUAAGUUGGAAGUGAAAUCCCCGGGCUCAACCUGGGAACUGCUUUCAAAACUGCUGAGCUAGAGUACGGUAGAGGGUGGUGGAAUUGCCUGUGUAGCGGUGAAAUGCGUAGAUAUAGGAAGGAACACCAGUGGCGAAGGCGACCACCUGGACUGAUACUGACACUGAGGUGCGAAAGCGUGGGGAGCAAACAGGAUUAGAUACCCCUGUAGUCC
rnacentral:rRNA from 1 species